rnacentral:lncRNA from 1 species
GGGAAGAGUGAUGGGUCUUCUAAAAGAAUCUACAUUUUUUUGCUCUCAGUUCGUGGACAUGUUUGUGAGUGAGCUUCAAACUUCAAAUGCUAAGAAUGG